rnacentral:rRNA from 1 species
UACGUAGGGCGCAAGCGUUAUCCGGAAUUAUUGGGCGUAAAGAGCUCGUAGGCGGUUUGUCGCGUCUGCCGUGAAAGUCCGGGGCUCAACUCCGGAUCUGCAGUCGAUACGGGCAGACUAGAGUGCGGUAGGGGAGACUGGAAUUCCUGGUGUAGCGGUGAAAUGCGCAGAUAUCAGGAGGAACACCGGUGGCGAAGGCGGCUCUCUAGUACGGUACUGACGCUGAGACGCGAAAGCGUGGGGAGCGAACAGG